rnacentral:rRNA from 1 species
GGCUUAGAGUUUGAUCAUGGCUCAGGAUGAACGCUGGCGGCGUGCCUAACACAUGCAAGUCGAGCGAAGCACUUUACUUUGAGAUCUUCGGAAGGAUAAGUUUUGUGACUGAGCGGCGGACGGGUGAGUAACGCGUGGGCAACCUGCCUCACACAGGGGGAUAACAGUUAGAAAUGACUGCUAAUACCGCAUAAGGCCACAGCACCGCAUGGUGCAGGGGUAAAAACUCCGGUGGUGUGAGAUGGGCCCGCGUCUGAUUAGCUAGUUGGUAAGGUAACGGCUUACCAAGGCGACGAUCAGUAGCCGACCUGAGAGGGUGACCGGCCACAUUGGGACUGAGACACGGCCCAAACUCCUACGGGAGGCAGCAGUGGGGAAUAUUGCACAAUGGGGGAAACCCUGAUGCAGCGACGCCGCGUGAGCGAAGAAGUAUUUCGGUAUGUAAAGCUCUAUCAGCAGGGAAGAAACUGACGGUACCUGACUAAGAAGCACCGGCUAAAUACGUGCCAGCAGCCGCGGUAAUACGUAUGGUGCAAGCGUUAUCCGGAUUUACUGGGUGUAAAGGGAGCGUAGACGGAUAGGCAAGUCUGGAGUGGAAGCCCGGGGCUCAACCCCGGGACUGCUUUGGAAACUGUUUAUCUAGAGUGUUGGAGAGGUAAGUG